AACGAACGCUGGCGGCAUGCCUAACACAUGCAAGUCGAACGAACCCUUCGGGGUUAGUGGCGCACGGGUGCGUAACGCGUGGGAAUCUGCCCUUUGCUUCGGAAUAACUCAGGGAAACUUGUGCUAAUACCGGAUGAUGUCUUCGGACCAAAGAUUUAUCGGCAAGGGAUGAGCCCGCGUAGGAUUAGGUAGUUGGUGGGGUAAAGGCCUACCAAGCCGACGAUCCUUAGCUGGUCUGAGAGGAUGAUCAGCCACACUGGGACUGAGACACGGCCCAGACUCCUACGGGAGGCAGCAGUGGGGAAUAUUGGACAAUGGGCGCAAGCCUGAUCCGGCAAUGCCGCGUGAGUGAUGAAGGCCCUCGGGUCGUAAAGCUCUUUUACCAGGGAUGAUAAUGACAGUACCUGGAGAAUAAGCUCCGGCUAACUCCGUG
rnacentral:rRNA from 1 species